rnacentral:rRNA from 1 species
GAUGAACGCUGGCGGCGUGCCUAAUACAUGCAAGUCGAGCGAACAGACGAGGAGCUUGCUCCUCUGACGUUAGCGGCGGACGGGUGAGUAACACGUGGAUAACCUACCUAUAAGACUGGGAUAACUUCGGGAAACCGGAGCUAAUACCGGAUAAUAUAUUGAACCGCAUGGUUCAAUAGUGAAAGACGGUUUUGCUGUCACUUAUAGAUGGAUCCGCGCCGCAUUAGCUAGUUGGUAAGGUAACGGCUUACCAAGGCAACGAUGCGUAGCCGACCUGAGAGGGUGAUCGGCCACACUGGAACUGAGACACGGUCCAGACUCCUACGGGAGGCAGCAGUAGGGAAUCUGCCGCAAUGGGCGAAAGCCUGACGGAGCAACGCCGCGUGAGUGAUGAAGGUCUUCGGAUCGUAAAACUCUGUUAUUAGGGAAGAACAAAUGUGUAAGUAACUAUGCACGUCUUGACGGUACCUAAUCAGAAAGCCACGGCGAACUACGU